UAAAAACAAGAUCGGGAUUUGGCUCCACAAUUAGCUAAGCACACACUAAGUUAGACAUGCCUAUGAGUUCUGUAGGGAAAAUCAACCACAUCUCAUGACCAAGCAUAAUUCUAAUGUAGGGGAACAAGUUUGGUGAAACAGCAUUACUAGCUUCAUGUAACUGGGAGGUAUGACUUAUUUGACUAAGGAUUUCAAUCAUGCAUGUAAACUAACAAAAGUGAUUUCAUAGUUUUCCUUUUUAUACAAUUGUUUUAGUGUGAUUAAUUCAGCAUAAGGCCAAUGUCACAUUUGGUCAUGAACAAAAAUCCUAACACGCUAGUUAGAGGUUUCUUAAGUGGAACGGCAAGGCAUAGUAGAGCUACAAAACAAGUUUCAGAGGUACUGAAUCUUGAAUCUAGUUAUAAACCAUACGAAAACAUGCAAUAACAAAGAGAUAAACUAAUUGCACGAUAAAC
rnacentral:lncRNA from 1 species